UUUCAGCUACAGCACGUGGGAUGUCUAUCUCCAUAGCCAAGGACAGUGCCUGCUGACUUCCACCUGCUGCCCCGGUGACCCAGGGUUUCCGGCACAUGUCACGUCCAGCCUGGGAUUCACAUUGGCAUGAGGCCCUCCACUUCCUGUGUUUAGCACCCCCUGGUGGCAGCGGCCCCUCAUGACUGCCUAGAGCAUUCUGGCCCAGGUUCAGUCUCCCAGCCCCUAGGCCCUGCUGGGACUGAGAAGAGGAGUAACAGCUGGCCUGGCCCCUGAUCCAGACUCCAUUCCCAUCUCAGCAGCCUGGCCCUGCCUCCUGACAUCCCAAAAGACCCAGGGGUGGAGACCGAUCCGACACCUGAUUCCUGGAUAAUCCCAGCAGCAAGACCUCACCUGCCUGUUGGGUGGAUGAAGAGAGAGCUGACGCCUAGGUGGGCACCCACACGCUUCCUGCACAGAUAAGCGGGCAGAGCAGCCAGCAGCAGGCAUGGUGGAUGAGUGACGGGAAUGAAAUCCACCAGUCUGGGAGCCUCCCAUGGGUGAGCAGGCACUGGGCUACUCCAGGAGGCGGAGCCCGCCGGCACCCACGUGACUGCCAUGCCCUCAUUCCCCAGUUGCCCACUGGCUCCGGCCCUGCCGCAAAAUGCCUGGACCAAAAACUUCGCCGAGGUGAUGGAAUCUCAUUAAUGAGGAUUUCCAUGCACCGAGUCAUCUUGGGGAUGUGACAAAUCAGAACAUCCCACUCUGGCAUCAGGAAAAGGGCUUUCUCACCAAUGAGCGCAGCACAGUGGAGGCUGAGGCCAGGAACAGAGGAGGCCACAGGUCUGCUUAACCCAAACAGGCCAGAGAGUGCAACGGAGCCCUUAUUCCUGGUCCAGCCCAACCUCCAACUGCCUGUGUGGCUUCACAAGGUGAGGCAUUCUGUGAGACUCCUCGGGCACGCAUUCAACAGUUCUGCCCAAAGACAAUUUGGGAGCAGGUGCAGCCAGCUCUCCUAAUGCCACCACUUUCUGUGUGUUCAUCUCUGAAACAGCCAGAGCGGCGGCACAGGGCAGGAGGUGGGUGCAGGUGGCAGGUGCACCCUCAGGCAGCGAUGGGCACCCAGUCAGAUGCCUCAACUUGGCAUUCAGGACCCUCCACUUCAGGGACACCUGUCUGCCAAGCUGAAGGGAGGGCUUCCUGGGGUCCCCUGAAGGAAGUGCUUGCUCCAGUGUAUCCCCGCCACAACAGGAGGGUGCUGUGCACCCCCACAGCCUUUCUCUGUCCUUUCCUCUGCUGACUUUGCCAUCAAUGCCCCCCACCAGCAGGCCUUCAAGGCUGCAUCCCCCAUAAAAUCUGGCCAAAGAGUAGACUUGGGAACCUUUCCCCAAACCCCUGUCCCCAUAACCCAGGGCAGCAGCACUAGGAGUGACAGGCAACUUGGCGACAAGAACAUGGGAAUUAAGGAGUCCUAGGCCCUGUGGCCUGGCCCAGCCUCCUGGGCACUGACCAGGUCUCACAAAGGCUCCCAGACCCCAUCAAGCCCACACUCAAGACUGAAAAGGGAGUGGGCACUUAGCCUAGUGGUGAAGACACCAUGUCCCACACCUGAGUAACUGGAUUUCAUUCCCAGCUCCGGCCCCUGACUCCAGCUUCUAGCUAAUGUAGACCCCGGGAGGAGGCAGUGAUGGCUCAAAUUACUGGAUUCCUGCUAUUGUGGUGUAGUGGGUAAAGCCGCCACCUGCAACACCAGCAUCCUAUAUGGAAGCUCGUUCUAGUCCCGCUGCUCCACUUCUGGUCCAGCUCUCUGCUGUGGCUUGGGAAGGCAGUAGAAGAUGGCCCAGGUCCUUGGGACUCUGCACCUGUGUGGGAGACCUGGAAAAACUCCUGGCUCCUGGCUUUGGAUCAGCCCAGCUCUGGCUGUUGCAGCCAUUUGAGGAGUGAACCAGUGGAUAAAAGACCUCUGUGUGUGUGUGUGUGUGUGUGUGUG